UCAAAUGCGAACAUAAGUUCAUCGAAGGCAGAAGGUCAGCAAAUAGUACAUGCAGUGACACGACGGCAAUGUUAAAAGAGAAAGUUAACAAAAUAAAACAUGAAACAGCAGUCAUUCGAAAUGGAGGUUCAUUCAUGCUAGAUAUAUGGAUACAAAUUAUAAAAUCUUGCUCUGAAUUAGGCUCCGCCACGGCCAGUAUUUGGAUAUGAUAGUCUUAAAUGAUGUCUUCAAUAGCACAAAAUCAGGCUACAAGGACAGAAGCUCCAAACACCCAAAGAACAAGCUUCUCUUACGACAGAGGAUUGAAUUUACAUCGAGGGCAGACUAACACUAGAACCCUUUCUCAUCACCCUUAGGCAUCUUUGCAUCAUGGGAUCUUUAACUUUACUUACGCCUAUCGAGUUCGGCUAGCCUCCUGUUGCUCUCGUCAAUCAAAAGCACAAACUCAAUCACUAAAUCAUCUUGCGACUUAAGAAUACCUUCAAGCCCAUGACUUUACAAGCCUACGACCUUGCAAACUCACACAAUAGGGACCACAUCCCUGAUAUAGACAAAAUACCUGUCUAUUUGUACAUCAUAUAUAUAUAUAUAUAUAUGUUAACCUAUAUGACAAUCUAUAUCUAUAUGAAAAGAUAUUAGUAGAUCGAUCGAACUCUAAAGAAUAUGAAACUAAUACAAGAAUGACACAUGGAGUCUCAAGAGAAUCGAAGAUACCUUUAAAGUCAAAAAAACAUGAUCUCUCUCUCUUUCUCUCUCUCUCUAUCUAUUUUGCUCCCUCCUCUCAAACUCUAACCCUCUUAAAAGCCUAAAUUCCAAUCACUUAUAAUUAUCUACAACUCUCCACCCACCAAAUAAACAGUAAUAAACCGCCACAAUCUUAACUUUGUAUCAACAUGCAUAAAUACUUGAGAAAAAGAUGUCUAAAACAUUAUUAUAGGGCACAAAGAUAUCUAAAACAUGAUAAAAAAAUACAAAGAUUUUGAAACUCAUGCUUUAUUUUAUGCAUUUCUCUAGUGAAA
rnacentral:lncRNA from 1 species